rnacentral:rRNA from 1 species
UACGUAGGUGACCAGCGUUGUCCGGAUUUACUGGGCGUAAAGAGCGCGCAGGCGGUCGUUCAAGUCGAGUGUGAAAGCCCCCGGCUCAACUGGGGAGGGUCAUUCGAUACUGAUCGACUCGAAGGCAGGAGAGGGAAGUGGAAUUCCCGGUGUAGUGGUGAAAUGCGUAGAUAUCGGGAGGAACACCAGAGGCGAAGGCGACUUCCUGGCCUGUUCUUGACGCUGAGGCGCGAAAGCUAGGGGAGCAAACGGG